rnacentral:rRNA from 1 species
GUGGGGAAUAUUGGACAAUGGGCGCAAGCCUGAUCCAGCCAUGCCGCGUGAGUGAUGAAGGCCUUAGGGUUGUAAAGCUCUUUCGCCGGUGAAGAUAAUGACGGUAACCGGAGAAGAAGCCCCGGCUAACUUCGUGCCAGCAGCCGCGGUAAUACGAAGGGGGCAAGCGUUGCUCGGAAUCACUGGGCGUAAAGCGCACGUAGGCGGGUUGUUAAGUCAGAGGUGAAAUCCUGGAGCUCAACUCCAGAACUGCCUUUGAUACUGGCGACCUUGAGUUCGAGAGAGGUUGGUGGAACUGCGAGUGUAGAGGUGAAAUUCGUAGAUAUUCGCAAGAACACCAGUGGCGAAGGCGGCCAACUGGCUCGAUACUGACGCUGAGGUGCGAAAGCGUGGGGAGCAAACAGGAUUAGAAACCCCUGUAGUCC